GAAGUCAGUUUAAUAUUUCAUGUUUAUUUUAUUUUGUUAAAGACCUUUAAUUUGAAACUGCUUUGUAGAGAGCUGCUUGAGUUGAGACUUUUAUUAUGAAAGGUACCGUGUAACUCAGGAAGUUGUUGUCUACACCGCAUGGCAAGCUGAACCUGAAGCUGUAAUCCACAUUUCUAAAGUGCAUUUAAGUUCAUUUACUCAACGGAGGUUACAGAAGAUAUUACCAGAUGUUAGAUUAAGUUCUCCUUUGGUAAUAAGCAGCCAAUGAAGUAAGUUUGUCAUUUAUAUUGUAUGUGAUUAUUGUGAAUUGUGUUGCUAUGUGUGAAAAGUGAUAUACAAAGACCGCAGUUUGCUGUUAAAGUUAAUUUAAAUCUGUUUGGAAAGUUUACAAAGACAAUAUUUAUUUAUUUGAUUUAUGUAUUUAUAUUCUUUAUUGUAAUUUUAUUUUUGUUUAUUUAGUUCUCACGGCAUCUUGAGUUGGAUGGUUAUCCUCAUGGUGAACCAGUCAAUAAAUCGCCUGUCAUCAGAGAAUCCUUGUGCUCGUGAAAUUACUGGGGGGGAGCUACAGUGAGAAUUCAUCUGCUCUUCACGGGUAGGAGAAGGAACGUUUCUGAACAGCAGUUAAGUGAGCAUCAAGUUAACUCCAAGUUCCAUCAUUCUGGAUUCUACAAGCAUUGUAUACACUGGUAACCAAGAACUAAGUGACACGCAUAUGCACAGAGUUUAAAGGCAUUGUCAAGUUAAGGCCGACAAGAAGAUUAGCACAACCAAGUUCAAGUUAAGGUGCUUGAAGUGGACUUAUUCUUGCCAUUUGUUAAAAAUGACUCUUUAAGUGUUCAGUACAUUGUUUGAAGAAGUGUUGGUGUUAUGUAUUUACCUUUUCAAGUUUAAGUCAUUUUUGAUCAGGUUUAAAGCUGCAAGUAAGAUAAUAGUUGUGAAGAAUAGCAAAGUGCAAUGCCUAAAAAUAGUUGAAUUUCAUUUACAAUUUUAAUUUUACAGGUGAUUGAACUGUUAAAAUACUACUUUAACCAGAGUUAAUAAUCUAAGAAAGAAACAUCUGUUUGCCUAAGUUCAGUACAGUUCACGUUACAUGUAUAAUUAUUCAAUUAGAGUAGUCAGUGUAACUAAGAGAUACAAAAAUGUCAGAAGAUGGUCAGUCUGCUAAGUGUGGCAAAGAAAAUAUAAAAGAUACUGUGCAAUCACCACAGCAGCUAGAAUCCCAAGAAUGUGUAGACACACAAGCAUUAGUAGCUGUUGAUGACACAACAGAGCAAGAACCACGAAGAAGUCAAAGAGCACGAAAAUUUACAGAGAAAGGUAAAGAGUUGCACGAUGAAAGGCUGACUAAACGUAAAAAUAGCUUUCAACGCUCUUAUGAGAAAUGGAAGACUCUUGCUAGAGAUAGUAGACAAAGACUAAUGGGGCAUCUCUCCAGUGACAUGUUGAACAGCCUCAUAGAUGCAAUCAGUGGUUCUUCAAAGGAUGUUAAUGUUGUUUAUGAAGAAUUGCGACAAAAUGUGAAUCCAGACAGUGAUAAUCGCCGUAGAGUAGACACUUGUGGAGCAGUCACAAAAAUGAUAGUUGAGUCUGCAUGGAGUCGUCUAGGUGAGGGAGUUAAGGGUCAAGAUCCUCUUAGACCAGAAGCAUGCUGUAUUGAUACAGGUUCAGUGUUCUCAUCCAUAGCCUCCAAAUCAAGUCAUGGACAUUCCAGGUCUUCUCAGUCUAUGAAAAAUUCAAUUUUGAGCUCCAGAGGUUCAAGUUGUUCCUCAGCUAAGAAGCAAGAGGCUGCUGCAGAAAUUGCUGCAACUGAAGCAACAUUAGAAAUAUUACAGCAACAAGAGCAUGAACUGGAAGAACUACAAAGACUUGAGGCUGAAGACAAAAGGAGAAUAGCAGAACAAGAAGCUGAAGAAUUGAAGCGACGACUAUAAAGAGAAGAACAAGAAGCUAGGUUACGUGUUAAGAUUGAAGCUGAAAAUGCUGCUAGACGGAAAGCAUUAGAAGACAAGCGCAGAGAGCUUGAGCGCUUGGAGACACUAAAAAGAUUAAAUGCUGCAAGGGCACGAAUGCAAGUCUACGAGCAGAAUGAAGACUCAAAGGAAGAAACAAGAGAGCUACUUCGUGACUGUGCAUCGGUAAGAAAGAAACAUGUACCAAAGUUAAGCAGCUCGGUGUUACAGAGCAUACCUCUACAGGAAGGUGCAACAAAAUCAUAUCAAGAAGCUAGCACUGCAGACCUUGUUAAGGUGUUAGCAGAAUCUAUCAGCUCAAGUCGUCUUCCUAUACCUGAACCUGCAACAUUCUAUGGAGACUCUCUCAGAUUUAGUGAUUGGAAAAUCUCAUUUCAAACUCUGAUAGACAGAAAAAACAUACCAGUAAAUGAGAAGCUUUACUACUUACGCAAGUAUGUGGAAGGACCAGCUAAUAAGGCCAUUGAAAGUUACUUCCUCCUAGGCACGGAGUCCGCAUAUCAAGCAGCAUGGGGCGUACUAGAAGAAAGGUAUGGAAACCCAUUCGUCAUUGCUAAAGCCUUUCGAGACAAGCUUAAUUCAUGGCCAAAGAUUGGUUCCAAGGACAGUGUUGAGCUGAGAGAAUUUACUGACUUCCUCAGAGGCUGUGAAGCAGCUAUGUCUCAGAUUAAGGGUCUUGAAAUCCUCAAUGAUUGUAAUGAGAACCAGAAAAUUCUUUCCAAGCUUCCUGAUUGGUUAGCCUCAGCAUGGAAUCGUCAGGUCAUAGAAAUUGAAGAAGAAACUAAGACAUUUCCUACCUUCAGUCGGUUUGUAAAGUUUCUUACGCGAGAAGCUAAGAUAGCUUGUAAUCCAGUGACAUCGCUUCAUGCACUGAAGCCUAAUGAGAUCGGAAAGGGAAAGAUAUCAAGAAAUCAGGACACUAGAGCAAAAGUGUUAACGGUACAGUCCAGAGAAAAGGUAGAUGCUGUAAAAUGUACCUUCUGUGAGAGACUAGGACAUAGUAUUCACAAAUGUCGUAAGUUUAUGGAGAAGAAUGUUGCAGAGCGAGUCAAGUUUGUCCAAAUGAAUAAGUUAUGCUUUGGAUGUUUGAAUCCUGGUCAUCAUUCAAAGAACUGUGAAGACAGGAGUGUCUGUGAGAAAUGUCAGAAGAAGCACCCAUCAUGCUUACAUGAGGAUCGUAUCAAGGAAGCAAAGAGGACUCCACAGUCAGGUCAGUCAAAGGAGAAGUUGAAGGAAAGAAACCCAGAGUUGGUACAGAAUAAAGAUACCGUAAGUGAAGUAACAUCUAACAGAGUAAUACAGGAUGUAAAUAAUACUCACACCUCUACAAUUGUUCCAGUAUGGGUAUCAGCUACCGAUGAACCAACUCAUGAAGUUCUGGUAUAUGCACUUCUUGACACCCAGAGCGAUACUACCUUCAUCCUGGAAGAGAUAGCUCAAGCUCUUGACACAAAGAAGGAAUCUGUGCAGCUGAAGCUCUCAACAAUGGUAUCCAAGAGUACAGUUGUUCCAUGCCAGAAGAUAAUUGGUUUAAAGGUGAGAGGAUUUUAUUCAGAAAAGAUCUCUUUGCCAGUAACCUAUUCUAGAGAGUUUAUUCCUGCAAACAGAACUCACAUUCCUACACCCAAAACUGCAAGAGUGUGGCCUCAUCUAAUGCAUAUAGCUGAGAAGAUUGCUCCUAAACAAGUUUGUGAUAUUGGCCUUCUGAUUGGAUACAACUGCCCUCAAGCUCUUCUUCCUAGAGAAAUUGUGUCUGGUAAAGAAAAUCAGCCAUUUGCUCAAAGAACAGAUCUGGGCUGGAGCAUUGUUGGCUGUGGCAAUUCCUCUGUAGACUACGGGGAUGCCAUUGGAGUGAGCCAUCGCAUUAUAGUGAAACAAGUGCUGCCAAGUCUACAGUCUUCUCUCAAUCUUACAAGUAAAGUUCAGUACAUAUGUAGAACACAGAUCAAGGAAGUGAUCACUCCACCAAAUGUCAUCAAAGCUCUUGAGUCGGACUUCAAUGAGAAAGCAGCAGUGGAUAGUUGUAUUUCUCAAGAAGAUUUACGUUUUCUGUCAAAAAUGGAAACAGGCAUCAGACACAAGGAAGAUGGUCAUUAUGAAAUGCCUUUGCCUUUCAAGGAAGACAGACCAAAUUUGCCCAACAAUAAAGGAUGUGCUAUUCAUCGCCUCAAAAGCUUAGAAAAAAGGCUUAAAAGAGAUGAGAAAUACUAUAGAGACUAUUUAGACUUUAUGAAUGAGACAAUUGCUCGAGGAGAUGCUGAGAAGGUUCCAGCUGAAGAAACAGAUAAAAUCCCUGCUUGGUACAUUCCCCAUCAUGGGGUUUAUCAUCCUCAAAAACCUGAAAAGAUCCGUGUAGUCUUUGAUUGCUCAGCAAAGUUUCAAGGUUCAUCCCUCAAUGACCAUUUGCUAACUGGUCCAGAGUUAACAAAUACCCUUGUAGGUGUUCUCUGUCGUUUCCGUAAGGGUCCGGUGGCAAUCAUGUGUGACAUAGAGCGCAUGUUUCACCAAUUUCAUGUGAAGGAAGAAGAUCAAGACUACUUACGGUUCCUCUGGUGGGAGAAAGGAGAUCUAGAAUCCAAGCCACAGGUUUAUAGGAUGAAAGUACACCUUUUCGGUGCAGCCUCAUCGCCCGGGUGUGCCAAUUAUGGCCUCAAGCAUAUUGCUGCUCAAGGUCGUGGUUACUUCAGUGAAUCCUCCAUUCGAUUCAUAGAAAGGAAUUUCUAUGUCGAUGAUGGGUUGACAAGUGUCUCAACUGUAGAUGAAGCUAUCAAACUGAUGAAGGAAGCAAGAGAACUUUGUAGCACAGGAAAGCUUUGUUUACAUAAAUUUGUGUCAAGCAGUGAAGAAGUAAAAGCAUCAAUUCCUCUGGAAGAAUGUGCUAAAAGUGUUAUGGAACAUGACUUGGCUUUGGGUGAGCUUCACAUGGAAAGGGCACUUGGUGUGAAAUGGUGCAUCAAAUCUGACAGCUUCCAGUUCAGAGUAUUCGUUAAGGAACAACCACUCACUAGAAGAGGAAUCCUUUCAACAGUGGCUUCUGUAUAUGACCCACUUGGCUUUGCAGCACCCUUAAUUCUUGUUGGUAAGCAAAUACUGCAACAGAUGUGUCAAGAUAAGGUGGGCUGGGAUGAACCACUUAAAGAGGAGUUGUUGACAAAGUGGAAAGCUUGGCUUACAGAUCUGCGAAACUUGGCUGAUGUGAAGAUUCAGAGAUGUUAUCUCCCGUCAACUUUUAAGGAAGUUCAGCGUUAUGAGCUUCAUCAUUUCUCUGACGCUAGUACAUCGGGAUAUGGAGAAUGCACAUAUCUCAGAGCUAUUAGCAUAUCAGGAGAUGUUCAUUGCUCCUUGGUUAUGGCCAAGGCUAGAGUUGCUUCUUCUAAAGUUACCACCAUACCAAGGCUGGAGUUAUCAGCUGCAGUAGUUGCUGUACAAACAAGUGACUUGCUCAGAAAGGAGCUGGAUAUAGCCAACCUAGAAGAGUACUUCUGGACUGACUCAAAAGUUGUCCUUGGAUACAUUAAUAAUGACGCCAAAAGAUUUCAUAUCUUUGUAGCAAACCGCAUUCAACGGAUUAAACAAAGCACAGAUACUAAACAAUGGAGAUAUGUGACGUCUAAAGAGAACCCUGCCGAUCAUGCGUCCAGGGGCCUUACAUCAGAAGAGCUCAUAUCAUCCAACUGGUUCACAGGACCAAGGUUUCUGUGGAAGGAUGAACUGCCCAGUGAUGUUAAGGUGGGAGAGAUCAUAGACAAUGACCCAGAGCUACGGAAAGCUCAAGUUCAUAAAACUCAAGCAAAAGAAGAAAGAUCAUUGCUUGAUCGACUUCAGAAGUUUUCAGAUUGGACAAGACUGGUAAAAGCUAUUGCAAGACUUAAGAGAUGUUCCAGGGAAGUGAAAGGUCUAAGUUCAAGGGUUAAUGAAGCCACCAGUAUCGAAGAAAGACAGGAUGCAGAGAUUACCGUUAUCAGAAUGGUUCAACAAUCAGCCUUUUGUGAUGAGAUCCAGAGACUCCGGCAACAGAAGGAGAUUGAGUCCAGCACAAACAAACUGCAUCGCCUGAAUCCCUUCUUAGAUGAGCAUGGUAUCCUCAGGGUGGGAGGUCGCUUAGUACAUGCUGCAUUACACCCACAUGUGAAACACCCAGCAAUUCUCCCACGACAUAGUCAUAUAUCAACAUUACUCAUCAGACAUUAUCAUGAGCAAGUGUAUGACCAAGGGAGAGGAAUGACUAUAAAUGAACUGCGAUCAAACGGUUUCUGGAUCUUGGGAUGUAGCAAAGCAGUGUCUUCAUAUAUCUACAAAUGCACUAGGUGCAGGAAACUGAGAAGAUGCACUGAAGAGCAAAGGAUGGCGAAUCUUCCUCAGGAACGUAUGGAGACAACCCCUCCUUUCACAUACUGCGGGAUGGACUGUUUCGGUCCUUUCUACGUCAAAGAUGGAAGAAAGGAGUUGAGGCGUUAUGGGCUUCUACUUACAUGUAUGUGUUCCAGGGCGAUCCAUGUGGAAAUGCUGGAUGAUUUAUCCACUGACGCAUUCAUUAAUGCAUUGUGUGCUUUCAUUGCCAUACGUGGACCUGUACGUCAACUUAGAUCCGACCAGGGCACUAAUUUCGUGGGUGCAAGACGAGAAUUUGCUGAAGCACUAAAGGAAAUUAACCAAGAACGCCUAAAGGAGUUUGGCUGUGAAUUCAUCAUGAACACCCCAUCAGCCAGUCACAUGGGUGGCAUUUGGGAGAGGCAAAUUCGGACAAUAAGGAGUGUUUUGACAUCCAUUCUGGAUCAAUCGGCUCAAAGACUUGAUAGUGCCUCACUAAGAACAUUUCUCUAUGAAGUCAUGGCUAUCGUGAAUAGCAGACCGUUAACCACGGAGCAUCUGAAUGAUCCAUCAGGUCCGCAGCCUCUUACACCUAACCACAUCUUGACUAUGAAGACUUCAAUAAUUUUACCACCACCUGGAGAAUUUGUCAAGGAAGACCUUUACCUUCAUAAGAGAUGGCGUAAGGUGCAGUAUUUAGCGAAUGAGUUCUGGUCACGUUGGAAAAAAGAAUAUCUUCUAAACCUGCAACACAGGCAGAAAUGGCACAAGCAUCGUAGAAAUGUAAAGGUCAAUGACAUUGUCAUUCUAAAAGAUGACACUGCUCCACGCAGUCGGUGGAAGCUAGCGAAGGUAACAGAAGUGCACAGUGGUACAGAUGGCUGUGUAAGAACAGUGAAGUUGUUGAUCAGUGAUUCGACACUGGAUAAAAAGGGCAAACGUGUUACUAAACCGACUUACCUUGAAAGGCCCAUUCAGAAAAUAGUUACCCCGAUUGAAGCAGAUUAAAAGCGUACCUUGUGUCUACCAUUCUUUGGGUUAGUCCAUAAGAUUUUUGAAUAAAAGUUGUCACUAAGUUACAAAAAAUCACAAGAAAGUGUUUUGGUGGGAGUGUAACUGACAGAGAAGUCAGUUUAAUAUUUCAUGUUUAUUUUAUUUUGUUAAAGACCUUUAAUUUGAAACUGCUUUGUAGAGAGCUGCUUGAGUUGAGACUUUUAUUAUGAAAGGUACCGUGUAACUCAGGAAGUUGUUGUCUACACCGCAUGGCAAGCUGAACCUGAAGCUGUAAUCCACAUUUCUAAAGUGCAUUUAAGUUCAUUUACUCAACGGAGGUUACAGAAGAUAUUACCAGAUGUUAGAUUAAGUUCUCCUUUGGUAAUAAGCAGCCAAUGAAUUCUCACGGCAUCUUGAGUUGGAUGGUUAUCCUCAUGGUGAACCAGUCAAUAAAUCGCCUGUCAUCAGAGAAUCCUUGUGCUCGUGAAAUUACUGGGGGGGAGC